UACGAAGGGGACUAGCGUUGUUCGGAAUCACUGGGCGUAAAGCGCACGUAGGCGGCUUUUUAAGUCAGGGGUGAAAUCCUGGAGCUCAACUCCAGAACUGCCUUUGAUACUGAGAGGCUCGAGUCCGGGAGAGGUGAGUGGAACUGCGAGUGUAGAGGUGAAAUUCGUAGAUAUUCGCAAGAACACCAGUGGCGAAGGCGGCUCACUGGCCCGGUACUGACGCUGAGGUGCGAAAGCGUGGGGAGCAAACAGG
rnacentral:rRNA from 1 species